rfam:Picea glauca, whole genome shotgun sequence.
GACAGUUUGGCUGAGUGGUCUAAAACGCCAUAUUUAGGCUUUGGUCCGAAACGACAUGGGUUCAAAUCCCACAACUGUCA